rnacentral:rRNA from 1 species
UACAGAGGGUGCGAGCGUUAAUCGGAUUUACUGGGCGUAAAGGGCGCGUAGGCGGUGAUAUGUGAGUGAUGUGAAAGCCCUGGGCUUAACCUAGGAAGCGCAUCGCAGACUAUGUCACUGGAGUAGAUGAGAGGGUGGCGGAAUUUCCGGUGUAGCGGUGAAAUGCGUAGAGAUCGGAAGGAACGUCGAUGGCGAAGGCAGCCACCUGGCAUCAUACUGACGCUGAGGCGCGAAAGCGUGGGGAUCGAACAGG